CCUACGUGUGGCAGCAGUAGGGAAUGUUCGGCAAUGGGCGCAAGCCUGAACGAGCAAUGCCGCGUGAAUGAGGAAGGUCUUCGGAUCGUAAAGUUCUGUUGAAGGGGAAGAAGAGCGGAGAGAGGAAAUGGUCUCCGCUUGAUGUUACCUUUCGAGGAAGUCACGGCUAACUACGUGCCAGCAGCCGCGGUAAUACGUAGGUGGCGAGCGUUAUCCGGAUUUAUUGGGCGUAAAGCGUGCGUAGGCGGCCUGCUACGUCUGGUGUGAAAGGUCCCGGCUCAACCGGGACAGUCACUGGAAACUGGCGUGCUAGAGUGCAGGAGAGGGGGGUGGAACUCAAUGUGUAGCGGUAAAAUGCGUAGAUAUAUGGAAGAACACCAGUGGCGAAGGCGACCGCCUGGCCUGUUACUGACGCUGAGGCACGAAAGCGUGGGGAGCAAAUAGGAUUAGAUACCCGUGUAGUC
rnacentral:rRNA from 1 species